GCCCGGUGAUGAGACCAAGGCGAAUAUGAGCCCACUGAAUUAGAGUCUGAGCUCUCCUGUGUUCCUGUUGGCUGGUAAUCUUGGCUGGGCAGUGAAGAUUUGCUGUCUUGCUGUAAGGGCCUGCCUAAAUUCAACAAGCCCCUUCCUCUGAAGUUUCUAUCCUUUGAAGAAAAGGGGAAGAACAAAGAUGGAGCUUACAUUUUUGUGUGUGUGUGUGUGUGUGUGUGUGUGUGUGUGUGUGUGUGUGUAUGAAGGAUCACAGGUUGAGUCUUGGUUCUCUGCAGUAAUUCUUUGGGCGUUGAGCUCUCUCUUUGGUAAUCUGAGGGCA